rnacentral:rRNA from 1 species
UACGUAGGGUGCAAGCGUUAAUCGGAAUUACUGGGCGUAAAGCGUGCGCAGACGGUUGCGUAAGUCAGAUGUGAAAGCCCCGGGCUCAACCUGGGAAUUGCAUUUGAGACUGCGUAGCUAGGGUGCGGAAGAGGGAAGCGGAAUUUCCGGGUGUAGCGGUGAAAUGCGUAGAUAUCGGAAGGAACACCAGUGGCGAAAGCGGCUUCCUGGUCCAGCACCGACGUUCAGGCACGAAAGCGUGGGAGCAAACAGG